rnacentral:rRNA from 1 species
UGGAGUCUGCAACCCGACUCCAUGAAGCUGGAUUCGCUAGUAAUCGCGCAUCAGCCACGGCGCGGUGAAUACGUUCCCGGGCCUUGUACACACCGCCCGUCAAGCCAUGGAAGCCGGGAGUGCCUGAAGUGCGUGACCGCAAGGAGCGUCCUAAGGCAAUACCGGUGACUGGGGCUAAGUCGUAACAAGGUAAC